rnacentral:rRNA from 1 species
AUUGAACGCUGGCGGCAGGCCUAACACAUGCAAGUCGAGCGGAUGAAGGGAGCUUGCUCCUGGAUUCAGCGGAGGACGGGUGAGUAAUGCCUAGGAAUCUGCCUGGUAGUGGGGGAUAACGUCCGGAAACGGGCGCUAAUACCGCAUACGUCCUGAGGGAGAAAGUGGGGGAUCUUCGGACCUCACGCUAUCAGAUGAGCCUAGGUCGGAUUAGCUAGUUGGUGGGGUAAAGGCCUACCAAGGCGACGAUCCGUAACUGGUCUGAGAGGAUGAUCAGUCACACUGGAACUGAGACACGGUCCAGACUCCUACGGGAGGCAGCAGUGGGGGAUAUUGGACAAUGGGCGAAAGCCUGAUCCAGCCAUGCCGCGUGUGUGAAGAAGGUCUUCGGAUUGUAAAGCACUUUAAGUUGGGAGGAAGGGCAGUAAGUUAAUACCUUGCUGUUUUGACGUUACCAACAGAAUAAGCACCGGCUAACUUCGUG